GAACACUACAGUGUGCUGGACCAUUAAAUAGGAUAAAGGAAUGAAAUUUCAUAGGUGAAGACUAAGAUAAGAAUGAUAAAAUUACUCUGCCUGGGAGUUUAAAGAAUGCAUCAGAUCCUUUCUAUGCUGGGGAACCUUUUCUCUCCCACAUCGUAUAACGUUGUCUUAAACCUCUUAUGGUCUAGGACACUUUCAAUUCUUCAUCUUCAAGGUCACAAGCCAAAUCUGACACUUUCAUUUGGCCAAGCAGGAGAACUACUUUCCUCUGCAUGUGGCUGCCCUUUGAGCACCACCUCUUAGUUUCAAUCUACUCAACGGCAGAUUCUCACCAGUCUGGAAAUUGGCUGGAGCUCUGCUGCUAUUCUCAGCUGGGAGCAAUCCGUGAAGAUCCUCAAGCCAGAGACCCAGCCCACCGCCCUCGUGAACUGCCAGCUUCAAUCAAAUUCGGAGAACACCGUCCCCAGCCAAACAGCUCAAGGGCCUGGUAUGGUACCCAUCACAUGCUAACUGGUAACAAAUGUUUAUAG
rnacentral:lncRNA from 1 species